UACGAAGGGGGCUAGCGUUGUCCGGGAUUAUUGGGCGCAAAGCGCGCGCAGGCGGAUGGGGAAGUCGGAAGUGAAAGCCCUCGGCUCAACCGAGGAAGUGCAUUCGAAACUGCCGUUCUUGAGUGUCGGAGAGGGUGGUGGAAUUCCCGGUGUAGAGGUGAAAUUCGUAGAUAUCGGGAGGAACACCAGUGGCGAAGGCGACCACCUGGACGAACACUGACGCUGAGGCGCGAAAGCGUGGGGAGCAAACAGG
rnacentral:rRNA from 1 species